rnacentral:rRNA from 1 species
ACUCAAAUGAAUUGACGGGGACUUGCACAAGCGGUGGAUCAUGCGGCUCAAUUCGAUGACAAACGAAGAACCUCACCAGGGUUAGAAACCAAGACGACAUCUUUAGGAAACUUUAGACUCCGCAAGGCGGCUUGGCAGGUGAUGCAUGGUCGUCGUCAGUUCGUGGCUUGAGUUGUUCCCUUCAGUGGGGUAACGAACGCAACCCUCGUUGCCUGUUUUAUUAGUCAGGCGAGACUGCCCCCUCACGGGGGAGGAAGGUGAGGAUGACGCCAGAUCAGCAUGUCCCUCUGAUAUCCUGGGCUGCACGCAUGAUACAAUGGGCGCGACAACGAGACGCGAAGGGGUAACCCGGAGCAAAUCUUUAUAAACGCGCCCCCAGUUCGGAUUGAGGUCUGCAACUCGACCUCAUGAAGCCGGAAUCGCUAGUAAUCGCAGGUCAGCUAUACUGCGGUGAAUACGUUCUCAAGUCUUGUACACACCGCCCGU